UACGGAGGGGACAAGUGUUCUUCGCAAUGACUGGGCAUAAAGGGCACGUAGGUGGUUUGGGGAUUUUUUAAUAGGAUAAAUACUGGUGGCUAACAACAGAUUUCUAUUAUAUUUUUAUUUUUCUAAACUUGAGUGAUGCCGAGGUUUAUAGAAUUUUUAGCGGAGGGGUGGAAUCCUGAGAGGCUAAGAGGAAUGCCAACUGGCGGAAGCGAUUUUCACUGGCUCACUGACAUUGAGGUGCGCAAGCAUGGGGAUCAAAUAGG
rnacentral:rRNA from 1 species